rnacentral:rRNA from 1 species
UUAAAUCAGUUAUGGUUCCUUGGAUCGUACCCCACUACUUGGAUAACUGUGGCAAUUCUAGAGCUAAUACAUGCAGCAGAGCUCCGACCUUCGGGGACGAGCGCUUUUAUUAGACCAAAACCAAUCGGGCCUCGUGUCCGUGAAACGUGGUGACUCUGUAUAACUUUGGGCUGAUCGCACGGGCUUGUCCCGGCGACGUAUCCUUCAAGUGUCGCCUUAUCAACUGUCGAUGGUAGGUUAUGCGCCUACCAUGGUCGUAACGGGUAACGGGGAAUCAGGGUUCGAUUCCGGAGAGGGCGCCUGAGAAACGGCGACCACAUCCAAGGAAGGCAGCAGGCGCGCAAAUUACCCACUCCCGGAACGGGGAGGUAGUGACGAAAAAUAACAAUACGGGACUCUUUUGAGACCCCGUAAUUGGAAUGAGUACACUCUAAAUCCUUUAACGAGGACCCACUAGAGGAAAAGUCAGGUGCCAGCACCCGCGGUAAUUCCUGUUCUAGUAGUGUAUAUUAAAGUUGUUGCGGUUAAAAAGCUCGUAGUUGGAUCUCAGUUCGAGUCGGGUGGUCCCCCAACCGGGGGUUACUGCCUGUUCUCAACACAGCCGGUUUCUCUAGAUGAUCUUCACCGGUUGUCUUGGGUGACCGGCAAGUUUACUUUGAAAAAAUUAGAGUGCUCAAAGCAGGCGCGACGCCCGAAUAAUGUUGCAUGGAAUAAUGAAAUAGGACCUCGGUUCUAUUUUGUUGGUUUUCGGAACAAGAGGUUAAAGGAAUUGACGGAGGGGCACCACCAGACGUGGAGCCUGCGGCUUAAUUUGACCAACACGGAAAACUCACCCGGCCCGGACACAGGAAGGAUUGACAGAUUGAGAGCUCUUUCUUGAUUCUGUGGAAGGUGGUGCAUGGCCGCUCUUAGUUGGUGGAGCGAUUUGUCUGGUUUAUUCCGAUAACGAACGAGCCCUAGCCUACUAAAUAGACGUCCCGAUUCUUCUCGGUCGGGCGGUCUUCUUAGAGGGAUAAGUGGCGUUUAGCCGCACGAGAGGGGCAAUAGCAGGUCAGUGAUGCCCUCAGAUGUCCGGGGCCGCACGCGCGCUACAUUGAAGGAAUCAGCGUGUGCUUUCCCUGUCCGACAGGACUGGGUAACCCGUUGAACCUCCUUCGUGCUGGGGAUAGGAACCUGUAAUUGUUUUCCUUGAACGAGGAACGCCUAGUAAGCGCGAGUCAUAAGCUCGUGCUGACUAUGUCCCUGCCCCUUGUGCACACCGCCCGUCGCCACUACCGAUUGAAUGAUUUAGUGAGGACAUCGGACUGGCGCUCGGACUGGCCUUUGGUCGGGCCGCGUGCCGGAAAGAUGUCCAAACUUGACCAUUUAGAGGAAGUGAAAGUCGUAACAAGGUUUCC